rnacentral:rRNA from 1 species
UACGUAGGGGCGCAAGCGUUGUUCCGGAAUUAUUUGGGCGUAAAGAGCUCGUAGGCGGCUUUGUCGCGUCGUUCGUGAAAACCUAGGCGGCUCCAACGUGCAGGCUUGCGGUCGAUACGGGCAGGCUGGAGUUCGGUAGGGGAGACUGGAAUUCCUGGUGUAGCGGUGAAAUGCGCAGAUAUCAGGAGGAACACCGAUGGCGAAGGCAGGUCUCUGGGCAUUAACUGACGCUGAGGAGCGAAAGCAUGGGGAGCGAACAGG